AGAGUUUGAUCAUGGCUCAGAGUGAACGCUGGCGGCGUGCCUAACACAUGCAAGUCGAACGAGAACGGAUUACAGCUUGCUGUAAUUGUCAGCUAAGUGGCGCACGGGUGAGUAAUAUAUAGUUAAUCUGCCCCAAAGAAGAGAAUAAUUGUUGGAAACGACUUGUAAUGCUCUAUAUGCCUUUAUCACAUAAGUGAGCAAGGGAAAUAUUUAUAGCUUUGGGAUGAGACUGUACGGUAUCAGCUAGUUGGUGAGGUAAUGGCUCACCAAGGCUAUGACAUCUAACUGGUUUGAGAGGAUGAUCAGUCACACUGGAACUGAGACACGGUCCAGACUCCUACGGGAGGCAGCAGUGGGGAAUAUUGCACAAUGGAGGGAACUCUGAUGCAGCAACGCCGCGUGGAGGAUGACACAUUUCGGUGCGUAAACUCCUUUUAUAUGAGAAGAUAAUGACGGUAUCAUAUGAAUAAGCACCGGCUAACUCCGUGCCAGCAGCCGCGGUAAUACGGGGGGUGCAAGCGUUACUCGGAAUCACUGGGCGUAAAGAGCAUGUAGGCUGUAGAUUAAGUUGGAAGUGAAAUCCUAUGGCUCAA
rnacentral:rRNA from 1 species